rnacentral:tRNA from 1 species
AUUUCUGUAGUAAAAUUAUUACGCUACCUUUUCGCGGUAUAGUUGAGUCCUCCUGAAAUU